GAGGCUUUUAAUAUGAACUAUUUGACCAACAAAUCGCCCAUGUUCAGAACGAAUCAAUCAAAACAGGUGAGUGGGAGCUCAUCUCCCUGUAAGUGAGAAUUUUUCUACCUUCUAAAGUUUUGUCCCAGAGUUACUGUGUUAAGGUCGUUCCCUGCCCUGUGGAUAGGGGAUGACUCCCCCCUCUUCCUUCAGCCAAAGCCGAAGGGUGGAUCUCCCUCUCCCCUUUUCAGUUGGUUUGUGCAUAGUUUUGAUGGGUCUUGUUCUCUUGUCGAUCUAUUGAAGAUGAGCUUCUUUGUGAAGGUUUAAGUACAAAUUGGUGAGAUGGUUCUGGUCAGGUCCCAGCCUGGUGGUGUACGCGAUG
rnacentral:misc_RNA from 1 species